rnacentral:rRNA from 1 species
GCAAGUCGAGCGAACAGAAGGGAGCUUGCUCCCGGAUGUUAGCGGCGGACGGGUGAGUAACACGUGGGUAACCUGCCUGUAAGACUGGGAUAACUCCGGGAAACCGGAGCUAAUACCGGAUAGUUCCUUGAACCGCAUGGUUCAAGGAUGAAAGACGGUUUCGGCUGUCACUUACAGAUGGACCCGCGGCGCAUUAGCUAGUUGGUGGGGUAAUGGCUCACCAAGGCGACGAUGCGUAGCCGACCUGAGAGGGUGAUCGGCCACACUGGGACUGAGACACGGCCCAGACUCCUACGGGAGGCAGCAGUAGGGAAUCUUCCGCAAUGGACGAAAGUCUGACGGAGCAACGCCGCGUGAGUGAUGAAGGUUUUCGGAUCGUAAAGCUCUGUUGUUAGGGAAGAACAAGUGCGAGAGUAACUGCUCGCACCUUGACGGUACCUAACCAGAAAGCCACGGCUAACUACGUGCCAGCAGCCGCGGUAAUACGUAGGUGGCAAGCGUUGUCCGGAAUUUAUUGGGCGUAAAGGGCUCGCAGGCGGUUUCUUAAAGUCUGAUGUGAAAGCCCCCGGCUCAACCGGGGGAGGGUCAUUGGAAACUGGGAAACUUGAGUGCAGAAGAGGAGAGUGGAAUUCCACGUGUAGCGGUGAAAUGCGUAGAGAUGUGGAGGAACACCAGUGGCGAAGGCGACUCUCUGGUCUGUAACUGACGCUGAGGAGCGAAAGCGUGGGGAGCGAACAGGAUUAGAUACCCUGGUAGUCCACGCCGUAAACGAUGAGUGCUAAGUGUUAGGGGGUUUCCGCCCCUUAGUGCUGCAGCUAACGCAUUAAGCACUCCGCCUGGGGAGUACGGUCGCAAGACUGAAACUCAAAGGAAUUGACGGGGGCCCGCACAAGCGGUGGAGCAUGUGGGUUUAAUUCGAAGCAACGCGAAGAACCUUACCAGGUCUUGACAUCCUCUGACAACCCUAGAGAUAGGGCUUUCCCUUCGGGGACAGAGUGACAGGUGGUGCAUGGUUGUCGUCAGCUCGUGUCGUGAGAUGUUGGGGUUAAGUCCCGCAACGAGCGCAACCCUUGAUCUUAGUUGCCAGCAUUUAGUUGGGCACUCUAAGGUGACUGCCGGUGACAAACCGGAGGAAAGGUGGGGAUGACGUCAAAUCAUCAUGCCCCUUAUGACCUGGGCUACACACGUGCUACAAUGGACAGAACAAAGGGCUGCAAGACCGCAAGGGUUAGCCAAUCCCAUAAAUCUGUUCUCAGUUCGGAUCGCAGUCUGCAACUCGACUGCGUGAAGCUGGAAUCGCUAGUAAUCGCGGAUCAGCAUGCCGCGGUGAAUACGUUCCCGGGCCUUGUACACACCGCCCGUCACACCACGAGAGUUUGCAACACCCGAAGUCGGUGAGGUAACCUUUAGGAGCCAGCCGCCGA